rnacentral:ncRNA from 1 species
CUCUAAUAUUUUUCUAGAUUAUGUAUUUUAAGGAAUAUAUACAAUGAAGUAUUAGAUAUUAAAGGGAUUUGUUCCUUCCAGUAAUAGGUAAAAAUGUAUCAGUAAAAUAGGUAUUAGUAGAAUUA